AGUCUGAUAGUUGGGUCAAUGGUGGUUCCAUUCCAUGUUUUCUGAGGAAUCUCCAUACUAUUUUCCAUAGUAGUUGUACCCAUUUGCAAUCCCAUCAGCAAU
rnacentral:pre_miRNA from 1 species